AUUGAACGCUGGCGGCAUGCCUUACACAUGCAAGUCGAACGGCAGCGGGGGAGAAGCUUGCUUUUCCUGCCGGCGAGUGGCGAACGGGUGAGUAAUACAUCGGAACGUGCCCUGUAGUGGGGGAUAACUAGUCGAAAGAUUAGCUAAUACCGCAUACGACCUGAGGGUGGAAGUGGGGGACCGCAAGGCCUCAUGCUAUAGGAGCGGCCGAUAUCUGAUUAGCUAGUUGGUGGGGUAAAGGCCUACCAAGGCGACGAUCAGUAGCUGGUCUGAGAGGAAGAUCAGCCACACUGGGACUGAGACACGGCCCAGACUCCUACGGGAGGCAGCAGUGGGGAAUUUUGGACAAUGGGCGAAAGCCUGAUCCAGCAAUGCCGCGUGUGUGAAGAAGGCCUUCGGGUUGUAAAGCACUUUUGUCCGGAAAGAAAUGGCUCUGGUUAAUACCUGGGGUCGAUGACGGUACCGGAAGAAUAAGGACCGGCUAACUACGUGCCAGCCGCCGCGGUAA
rnacentral:rRNA from 1 species